UGGGAUCGAUCGAGUUAUAUAUUAUUCUGGGGUUACGAGACUCUCUGUGAAAUCGAAGUGCUGUUCGACAGCUGUUUCGUUUCGUCAAAGGAAAAUUUAUCUUGUUAAAUGAGGCAUGCAACUUAAGAAAGUUGUCUAUAAUUUUCUUUGAUAGAAUCUACGAGGAAAGAAUGUAGAUCGCUUGGUUUAGCGGCGGCGCGUUAAAGUAACGAAGAUGAUAAAUGUCCUUUUUUAUUUUGUUUCUAUGAUUUGUGAAAGGUGCUGUGCAGAUUCGGUGAUAUUGU
rnacentral:misc_RNA from 1 species